rnacentral:rRNA from 1 species
CAGCCGCCGCGGUAAUACCGGCGGCCCGAGUGGCGGUCACUAUUAUUGGGCUUAAAGCGUCCGUAGCCGGGUUGGGAAGUCCUCCGGGAAAUCUGGCCGCUUAACGGUCAGAAUGCCGGAGGAUACUCCCAGCCUAGGGAGCGGGAGAGGCCGAGGGGAUUCCCGGGGUAGGGGGGAAAUCCUAUAAUCCCGGAGGACCACCUGUGGCGAAGGCGCUCGGCUGGAACGCGUCCGACGGUGAGGGACGAAGGCCAGGGGAGCAAACCGGAUUAGAUACCCGGGUAGUCCUGGCUGUAAACGAUGCGGACUUUGUGUCGGACAAGCUAUGAGCUUGUCCGGUGCCGGAGGGAAACCGUUAAGUCCGCCGCCUGGGGAGUACGGCCGCAAGGCUGAAACUUAAAGGAAUUGGCGGG